rnacentral:rRNA from 1 species
CAGGUCUUGACAUCUGGCGAAUCCUGUAGAAAUACGGGAGUGCCUUUUAGGAGCGCCAAGACAGGUGGUGCAUGGUUGUCGUCAGCUCGUGUCGUGAGAUGUUUGGGUUAAGUCCCGCAACGAGCGCAACCCCUGCUAUUAGUUGCUAACAUUAAGCUGAGCACUCUAAUGGGACUGCCUGUGACAAGCAGGAGGAAGGUGGGACGACGUCAAAUCAUCAUGCCCUUUAUGAUCUGGGCUACACACGUGCUACAAUGGGUGGUACAGAGAGCAGCGAGACCGUGAGGUGGAGCGAAUCUCAAAAAGCCAUUCUCAGUUCGGAUUGAAGUCUGCAACUCGACUUCAUGAAGUCGGAAUCGCUAGUAAUCGCGAAUCAGCAUGUCGCGGUGAAUGCGUUCCC